GAUCACAAUUCAAUUUCUUGCUUCAACCAAAAACCAAAACAAAGCACCACAUGAAAACAAAGAGCAAACAAAAUAAACUCACCGGAUAAGACCGAGUCUGAUGGUGAAGUGUGAUAGCGAACAACACAGACUAACCCAAUCUGAGCGGUACCGAAAUCUUCACCGGAACCUCACCGGAGAAAAGGGCUAACCGGAAAUGGCGAGAACUUGAUCGGAACCCUAGCCGGGAAACCCUAGACUCGACGACUUCGUCUCUGUGGGUGUGAGGCGAGCACGCGUGGGGUCGGUUGCCAGAGAUUCGCCG
rnacentral:lncRNA from 1 species